rnacentral:rRNA from 1 species
AUUGAACGCUGGCGGAAUGCUUUACACAUGCAAGUCAAACGGCAGCACGGGAGCUUGCUCCUGGUGGCGAGUGGCGAACGGGUGAGUAAUGUAUCGAAACGUACCCAGUCGGGGGGGAUAACUAUCCGGAAGGAUAGCUAAUACCGCAUACGUCCUGAGGGAGAAAGCGGGGGAUCCAAGGGUAACUGAGGACCUCGCGCGAUUGGAGCGGCCGAUAUCGGAUUAGCUAGUUGGUGGGGUAAAGGCUCACCAAGGCGACAAUCCGUAGCGGGUCUGAAAGGACAACCCGCCACACUGGAACUGAAACACGGUCCAAACUCCUACGGGAGGCAGCAGUGGGGAAUUUUGGACAAUGGGGGCAACCCUGAUCCAGCCAUUCCGCGUGAGUGAAGAAGGCCUUCGGGUUGUAAAGCUCUUUCAGCAGGAACGAAACGGUCGGCUUUAAUACGGUCGGCUAAUGACGGUACCUGCAAAAAAAGCACCGGCUAACUACGUG